rnacentral:rRNA from 1 species
AUGGACCAGCUCAGCGCCGUCAUGCAUCUAGCCGCCUUUGCUGCACCAACAACAAACACCGGAUGGGAGGAGCAGGACGUCACCAACAACCAGCGCGGCGGCGAGCCCAUGACGCAUCGUUGUGCUGUGACGGCAGUUGAGCCGAGCGGCGGCGGCGCGGUGGAGCAGGAUCCACUCAUCGGAGUGCGCAAGCGGCCGUGGGGCAAGUACGCGGCGGAGAUCCGGGACUCCACGCGCAACGGCGCCCGCGUCUGGCUCGGAACCUUUGACACCCCGCAAGCCGCCGCGCUCGCGUACGACCAGGCCGCAUUGGCCUUGCGCGGCCCCGCCGCCGUGCUCAACUUCCCUGUCAACCGCGUGCAGGAGUCGCUCGACGUGCUGGGCUUGGGCGCCACCUCCGCCGCCGCGGGGGACUCGCCUGCCCUAGCGCUCAAGCGCCGGCACUGCAUCAGGAAGCGCAAACCCAAGAAGAAGAACCAGACGAGCGCGCCUGUUGCAGCGAGGAAGCAGGGCCUGCAGGGUUCAGCUGCUGCAUCGGCUUCGUGCGUGCUGGAACUGGAGGACCUGGGAGCGGACUACCUCGAGGAGCUGCUCGGAUGUGCGAUC